rnacentral:rRNA from 1 species
GACGAACGCUGGCGGCGUGCCUAACACAUGCAAGUCGAACGGAAAGGCCCGGCUUUUGUGGGGUGCUCGAGUGGCGAAGGGGGGAGUAACACGUGAGUAACCUGUACCUGACUGAGGGGGAACUUCAGGAAACUGGGGCUAUUACCCGAUAGGAGAUCCUGCUGCGCGGUGGGGGUUGGAAAGAUUCGGCGUUUGGGGGUGGUAUAGCGGCAUAUCAGCUUGAUGGUGGGGUAGUGGAUUACCAAGCCUAUGACGGGUAGCCGGCCUGAGAGGGUGACCGGCCACCCUGCUACUGAGGUACGGCCCCGACUCCUCCCGUAGGCAGCAGUGGGGAAUCUUGCACAAUGGGCGGAAGCCUGAUGCAGCAACGCCGCGUGCGGGAUGACGGCCUUCGGGUUGUAAACCGCUUUCGCCUGUGACGAAGCGUGAGUGACGGUAAUGGGUAAAGAAGCACCGGCUAACUACGUG